UUUUAAUGGUAUAAAAGGCUGAUGAAGUUUUAGACAACCAAUACAAGAUUCAGAACUCGGCAUCGCGAUAAACAAGUAAAAUUGUACAUUCAGGAACUCGUUUAAAUAUUAUAGGUUGAUUGAAGAAUAAUCUACAAUUGAUUAGAGCCUAUGACGAUGCGAAGAUAAUUAAUCACCUAACUUUAAGAAACCAGCCUAAAGAAGUUUACAUGCAUCUCAUCUAACCAUUAUAGAUCAGUAGUGAUUUUUCAUAAUUUGAAUGAACUCACAGAUAGCAAUGGGGCACCGCACC